CGGUGGUUGUUGGACGGCAAAGGCCUCAAACUGGAAGCCCCCGGCGGGGUUUGGCGUGGUCCUGUGCCGAAUCUGUAAGAGAAGCAGGAAAUAAUGAGUUCUUGGAGGAGUGUUGCAUAUCCCCCACAACAGCUCGUGUCAUCUGGAGAAGCGUGGUGUCGACUCGUGGCCUACAUUCGCCACUGCUAUUUGUUACCGUCAAAAACAGGUGAAGCGCAACGGGAUAAAGAUAGUCAACUCAUAGGUUCCUCCAGGAUUGGCCUGCUGUUGUCGGUGUGCCUGUGUAGCAACAGCAGCGGAUACCUGACGUGUGCAUCAUCUUCACCGAGAAGCCAGGAGCUCUGAGAAGUCUGCUGCUUGACGUGAGGGCCAUAAACCAGAGGAGAGGAGUCAUAUUCACAAGGAGUGUGGAAGAAUGCAGGCAUAACAUUUAACUGAUGUGUUAGAAAAAUGUAGGGAUACACAUUGUAGAUAUUUUGUUUGCCAAUAAUGUGAAACAAUGAUUUUAAUUUUUGUCAUUUUUAAUCAGUAGUUUUGUUUGCGUUUUCCUCUGUGAAAGUGGUCUCUUUUGGACACUACUGUAUAUCACAUGGACACAAAGACAUACUACUAUUCAAUCAUAGACUAUACAUAGAAAUUGAAAUAGUUGUCAUCUUCCAAACAACUGUGUGAUGGAUCAGAGGGGCCAGCCCGUGUCCUGGAUGCUCUCUGAUGACACGCGAGCUGACAACAGCCUAUAACCUAUCAACGUACAGACGGGCCGGUCACCUCCUGGCUAUGUCUCUGCCUGUGACCUGCAGGGUGACCUCUGUGGGUCUGUCCGUCUGCUGCCACAUCAGCCAGCGUAGCCAGGCCAUCGCAGUGCUACUCAUAUGAAAGCACAGCGUCUGAAUGAGACAAACUAAUGAGCAUAGGGUCUAUGAUUCAAUCAUUUAUAUUUUUUACGACAGGGCUCCACCGAUGCGGCUCCUUAGGAAGUUUAGUUGAUGUCUUACUGCAAAAUGCCAGGAGAAGAAAUGCAAAAAACAUUUUCUGUGGUUUUGGGCAGGGUUUGAAGACCGUGUCACUGCUCCUAUUUGUUCAGUGUAAAAAAACAGUACAACUGCCCCUCAAAAUGGAAUAAUACUGUAAGAACGAUACAAA